GUCUUUUUGUUUAUAUAUAAAGUCAGGCCUGCUCAAUGAUUAAUUAAAUAGCUGCAGUAUUUUGACUGUACAAAGGUAGCAUAAUCAUUAGUUUUUUAAUUGAAAGCUUGUAUGAAGGGUUUAACGAAAAAAAAUCUGUCUCAAUUAUAAAAAAUUGAAUUUUAUUUUUAAGUUAAAAAGCUUAAAUUUAAUUAAAAGACGAGAAGACCCUAUAGAGUUUAAUAUUUUAGUUAAAAAAAUAUUUUAGAAUUUUUGUUUAAUAAAAAAUAUUUAAUUGGGGUGAUUUAUAAAUUUAAAAAACUUUAUAUUAAUUUUAACAUUAUUUUAUGAAUUAUUGAUCCAUUAAAAUGAUUAUAAGAUGAAAUUACCUUAGGGAUAACAGCAUAAUUUUCUUUGAGAGUUCUUAUCGAAAAGAAAGAUUGUGACCUCGAUGUUGGAUUAAAAUUUAAUUUUGGUGUAGAAGCUGAAAUUUUAAGUCUGUUCGACUUUUGAAAUUUUACAUGAUCUGAGUUUAGACCGGUGUGAGCCAGGUUGGAUUCUAUCUUUAAUAAAAAAUAAUAUUUUAGUACGAAAGGACCAAAUAUUGUUAAAAUUUAAUUAUUUUUGAAUA
rnacentral:rRNA from 1 species